rnacentral:lncRNA from 1 species
CCACGGGAGCUAUCAUCUACGCUAGUGCUGCCAAGAUCAGUUUCUACGUCAAAGGGAAGAAGGAGACAUUUUUCUUCAAGAACAAGACUACACAAAUUCCAGAUCAAUCCAGACGUAAAUCAAGGAAGAGGACCAACAGGAGGAACAGGAACAAGCAAGUGUGGACCGAGUCAGCUAAGAUGGUCACUGUAGUUCAUGGAGGCCAAGAUCAUCAACUUAAGUCACCGUUUUUGACCAAGAAGGACGACCCAGGAAUGCCAAGCAUUUACUGCUCCAUAAAUGGAUACAACUUCUACAAGACGAUUUGCGACACCGGAUCGGGCGUCAACAUAAUGGCCGCAGUCACCUAUCGGCUCUUGUUCGGAACCAUGCCACUAAGACCAACAUACAUUCAGCUCCAGAUGGCAGAUCAGACAUUUCAAGAAGUUCAAGGAAUAGUAUCUGAUGUCCCAGUCAAAAUAGACGAUCACUUUGUCUACACAGACUUUCAAGUUGUUGACAUGGGAGAAGACGAGUAUGAUCCACCCAUCAUCCUUGGAAGACCGUUCCUCAGCACUGUUAAAGCAAUUAUCUACAUUGGAACCGGAGAAGUCCACAUGCACUUCUCCUCAGAGAAGGUACGCCAUUAUUUUACUGACCCUAAUUAUAUUGUUGAAGAAUCUAAGCAGGUAAGGAAAAGACGCAACCGCAACCAGAGGAGGCAGAUCAUCAAGGACGGAUGGACAGACUACGAAGGAGAAGUUGUAAGAUCAGAAGACGUUGAGUUUAAACAAAAUUAUCCAGAGGAGAUUGAAGCACCGAGUCAGGUAUGGAAAAUGAAGAUAACUAUACAAGAAGAAGAGGCGCUGCCGGAAGUACCGACUACGCCACCCAACGAACCUCAGGACGAUUAAAGAAAAUGGAGAGUCCCGUUCGGAGGACUUAAAGACACCGAACGCCUUGCCAAGAGGUAAACUUGGUAGUUACCCUUUCCUUUUCAAUUAUUUUACUUAGUUAAUCAUAUUCAUACUAUCCUAAAAAGAAAAUAAAAAUAUGAAAAACAGUAAGCCCCAUGUGAGUAGACGAGUGGCAUAAAACCCAUAAGUACAUUCACUGUGGUGGCAUAAAAAUAAAUAUUUUUCUGCUUUAUAAAAUAAAAAUAUAAAAACAGGGAGUAAUAUUUAUUAAGGAGUCUCAAGAUAAUAAAGGCUAGAUAUUUAUGCUAACACUUAAUCAGUUCCACAAGCUUUGUUGUCUAUUUGAGCUCCACAGAAUUUAAGAAUCAAGAAGACUGGCAGACGGAGGACAUUCUAAUCGCUGUCAGAAAGCUGCUAACUUUCAAAUACACCUCUGCCACCUGCUAGCUACAUCAAGAGAAAUUACGUCAAAAUUCAGCUUGGGGGAGAGCACCCCAUUUAUCCCGAUAAGUAUUUCUAUCUAUCUGUCUUUAUACUUAUAUUAUUUUAGAAUAUUAAAAUACUUAUAUGCUUAUAUAUAUAUAUAUCUUUUGCUUAGUGUGUUUAAUAAAUAAAUAAAGUGGCUAUGCUAAUCUGUAUCUAAAUAAAACUUAUGCAUGGAUAUGAUGAAUAGUUGCUCUGCCUAAUUUGCAUAUUUUAAGUUCUCUCUCAAGUUUAGACAUAACUGUUAUAAUUUAAAGCUUGCUCUAGACCUAAACUUGUGGGAUGAAAACUUGAUCUGAAGUCUAAGUUGUUAACGGAUACGAUAUGGGAAGGUUGAGCUGCUGUUUAUCUGUUCCUAGAGAUGCUAGAAUUCUGGAGAAUUUUAUCUUUGAAAAUCUUUAAAAUGUUGCAUGAUGAGUUCCUGUAUGAUGAGAGUUUAAAUUCCUACCACAGCCAUAUAUACAUGCUUGUUAGACUUUGAGCCACACAUUUAUUAUUUACUGCUUAUGAGCAUUGAGUGUGGUCAAGCUGUGUUGACCCUUAGGAGCUUGUCAUGUGGUUAAAUCAAGAUUUCACUUGCACGUUCACUCAUAUAUGCUACUUCUACUCCGGAAGUACCAUCCACAUAUAUCCACCCAUUCCAUCUCCGGAAUCACCUAAAAAUAUUCUACUCCUAAUCCGGGAGAGAAUAACCAAAAAUAUUUCUGUUUUCCCCUUAUGAAAUAAAUGCUCAAGUUAUCUUGUUACUACCACUUGCUAUAUUAUCUCAAGAGAUGAAUGCUCUGAAAAAAAAAGAGAAAGAUACGAGGAAAUAAAAAGGAGCAAGUGCUCGGAACCUCGAAAGUGUCCGACAGUAGAAUUAGGGGUAUAAGAUACCCACCUGAGAGAAAAGAAAAAAAAUAUAGAGCAUCUCAUUCUCCUCAUAAAGUUUCAAAAAGCAAGGAAGGUAUGUAACCCCUCAAAAGAGCAAAAGUAGAAUUAGACUUCCACCUCCAUUGUUUUCACCAUUGUUUCCACCAUUGUUAUCACCAUCAUCACCAUACAUCAUUCAUUCGCCACACAUGCACAUCUUGAUUAAACUUAUUGACUUGUUACUUUGGAUCCAUGGUUUGACUAUGCAAUAAAUGUCUUGUAAGUAUGUAUACUUUAUCUCCCACCUAUGAGCUCCAGAUAUUAAAGCCUUAUUAGAGUAGGGUGAGAGAGAAGACAAUGUCACUAUACCUCAUACCACAAAUACCACAUAUUUUGAGAGAAGGCAUAUACCAUCACUGCCUUGGUAAGGAUCCAGAAAUACCACAAAAGAGAGACCUGAGAGAAUCAUACAAGGAAUCUCUGAGUUUUAUUUGAAAAUCUGCAAAAACCCCAGAGCUAUAGCUGAUCAAGAAUAAGAGACAUGACACUUGGCUAGACUGUUCUAUCUUUUAACCACUCAAGACAGAAGUGACAGUUACAAGUCCCAUGGUGAAGGUAAAGUAAGUAAGUUUUAAGUCUUGACAGUUUACUCUAACUCAGAGAUGAGAUCUUAUUUAAAAGCAUGUGUACCGUCAAAUUUUUAAAGAUAUUGCAACUACUUAUGAUCCAUAGCUGAGUCUAUCCUUGCUCAGGGACGAGCAAGAGGUAAGCUUGGGGGAGUUUGUUGACGGUCCUUAAGUAUCAAAUUUAAUUAUCAAAUAAAUAAAGAAAAGGAUCCAAAUAAAAUCAAGAUCUAGACUUAGGGUUCUAUCUGACAGAAUUCCACGAGUUUUGGUGUUUGUCUAUUUCUGCAGGGGGUUAUCAGGAAAUACAGAAGAAAGGCCCACAUGUCAGGAUUACGUAAAGAUAUUAACGUGCUGCGCAAUUAUCUUACAUCUAGAAGACUCCAGAAGCCACGAGACCGAAGCGGAGGCGAAACGGGGCCUGACCCUGGGCGGCCGCCCAGUUGGUCAGGGCGCCCGCCCUGCCCUUGAGUCCAAUCAGGACUCUGCUUUGCGGGAGAUCUCCACCGACCUAAAGGAUGAAUCUAAACCAUAUAAUCUAUAUCGGUUUGAUCCAAGAGCCCAUAUUCACUUGAAGGGGCUAUAAAACCAGACCCCCUGGCCCCUGGAGGAGAGAGCCUCUCAACCCUAAUUCAUUGUUCCAUCAAGGGAGAAGAAGCCUCUCAUCAAGAUUAGAGCCACCACAUCAAUUAGAUAUCUAGAUUAGCAUAGCUACAUAGGAUUAGAACUAGAAGGAGUCAAUCUUCGAUUGGUUUCCGGAUCUGUCAAGAGGAUUCUUGGUAAUUCUCUAAUUGUGCUUCUAAUUGCUUUCUAAUUAUCUUUGUUCUUCAAUAUUAUGAAUAUGACUUUGUUAUACUUCAAUAUAUUGCUUAUGACUUUGCUCUACUUGCUUAUAUUCAAGAUUAUAUUGUUCUUAGUUUAUCAUAGUUAUGUACUUGGAUUAGUUAGAUUCGAUCUAUAUACAUGCUUAGGAUCGUAUAACGUUUAUCCAUCGGAUACAUGGGUAAAUGAUAGAUAUUGUGUAGGCGUGGUGCUUAUACCGUAUUUAUCUGCGAUUGUACCCAAUAUGCCAGAUCGUGGGGUGGUUCGUGAUAGUGACAGCUUCAUUGAUUCUUAUAUAGUCCCCCUCUCGUGUAUUGGGCUGGCACAGCAACAUUAUCACAGGGGAGUGAUUGCUAUGUUUCUCAUAUUCCUUGCUAAUAUCACUAUGCAUGGGCGUAGUCUUGUCUCGCAAUGAUUGCUAAGUAUGCUUGCACUAACUAUGAUAAUGCUAGACUAUAUAGUUGAGAAUAACUUAGGGAAUAUUUUUGUAGUUCGUUCUAAUACCAUGCUAAUGACUUUCUAGAGUAUCUAAUUGAGGUGCUUAUCAUAUUUAUUAUGUGGCUAGAUCAGAUUAGUUAUCCUUGUCACUAUUAUUAUUUCAUAUAUCUUUUAUGUGACAUUUAUCCCUGUAUGAAGAGUUAGAUAUAAUGUUCUCAAUUAUACAUGCAAUGAUAGAUGCUCAAUUUCAUAUUCUAUUCUGUAAUCAAUAUUGAUGAUUUCUAAUCCCUUCCCAGUGGUAAAAAUAUAAAUAACGAUACCUGGAAUACUUCCCGGUUAAAAUGUUGCAUCGGUAUUAAUCUGUGCGCUUGCAGAUCCCAUUCAUUAUUUAUUUAGAAGAGCAAUUGCAUAUUUCAAUACCGCGUCUCUUAUAUCAUGCUGGGGAUGACAACUUGGCUUAUGUGGUGUGAGGGAUAGGUUUGGCAUUUUUGGCACUGUUACUAGAUUUAGAGAACUUAGUCUACUUUUGGUAAUGAUGUUAAGAAUACCCAACACUCGAUAUCUCGCAGCACUCCAUCGAAGAAGUGACCGGGAGGCUCAAAGCCGCCGACGACGUCGAGCCCAUCCCGGCACACACCACGGGCGACAAAUUGCUGCUCACCGAGGAGCAAUGGGUUGAGAGGUACAAGAAGAAGUCCACCGAGUCUGGGCGUGGUGGCUCAGGCUCUGGUGGACGAGGAAAGGGCCACGGCCGCAGCCGAGGACACGGCUCCAGCGACUCUAGAGGCGGCUCCAGCUCAACGCGCCUGCCGCCGGACGACCCAUGUCCACGCUGCGGCAAGAAAGGGCAUUGGGCCCGUGACUGCCGCGGUAAGAAGAAGGAGGAGACAGCCCAAGAGGCACAUGUGGCCCAGAAGGAACAAGCCACACUUAUGAUCGUCGUCACGCAAGCCCAGGAGGAGGAGUCAACUCCCCUCUCAGCCUGUUGUUCCCCUUGCUUUCUCCGCCGCCGCUCGGAGAACUCCACCUAACCAUGCACAAAGUCUCCGUCGCGCUCAACUCGCCGGGCAACAAGGAUCUGAGCCAAUGGAUCCUUGACACGGGCGCCUCCAACCACAUGACGGGCGCCCGCUCUGCCUUCGCCACGCUCGACUCUGGCGUCACCGGCUCUGUGAAGUUCAGUGAUGGCUCCACCGCCUGCAUCAAGGGCAGUGGCACUGUGCUCCUCUCCUGCAAGAAUGGGGAGCACCGGUCGCUGUGGCGCAUCUACUACCUGCCACGACUGACAGCGAGCAUCAUCUUCAUCGGGCAGGUGGAUGAGGGCGACUACGAAGUGUUGGUGAAGCACGAUGUGAUGUCCGUCUGAGAUGAAGAGAUGCGCCUACUCGCCAAAAUCUCGCACGGUCUAGGGCGCCUGUACAUGCUCGAUGCCACCAUCGCACAACUGGUGUGCCUGGCAGCAUGGGGCGGAGACGGCGCCUGGAUCUGGCCCGCCUGAUUCGGGCACGUGAACUUCACCGCCCUAUGCAAGAUGGUGCACGAGGAACUCGUCCGUGGGCUUCCCCUUCUCAACCAAGUGGAGCAGCUCUGCGACGCUUGCCUGGCAGGGAAGCAGAAGCGCUCACCAUUCCCACAGAAGACCCAGGGGCGGUCCACAGCUCCAGCUCCUCCAUGGUGACCUAUGCAGGCCGAUUUCGCAAUCGACGCCGAGUGGUAACCGCUAUUUCAUACUCCUCGUCAAUGAUUUCUCCCGGUACAUGUGGAUUGCCCUGCUACCAUCCAAGGAUGGAGCAGCUGCAGCGAUCAAGCGAAUUCAAGCUGCAGUCAAGCGCAAGAUCGGCAAGAAGCUAAUAACUCUGCACACCGAUCGUGGCGGGGAAUUCGCCGCCACCGACUUCGUCAGCUACUGCGCCAAGCUCGGGGUUCAUCGUCACCUCAUAGCGUCGUACACGCCAUGAAAGGAUCAAGAUGCCCAAGAGGGGGGUGAAUUGGGCUUCUCUAAAAAUUUAAGCUACCUAUAAGCUCUAGUUCAACCCCUUGUGCCUAGUGUGAAUAGAGAGCUACCGGACAAAACUUUUGCAACCUAGUUCCAAUCCUAUUCUAGCAUGACAAUUCUAAGAAUGUAAAAACACAAAGUGUCGACGAAAGCUGGUCGGCAGUCUACCUUGGGGUAUACCCACGGUAGUAGUUUAUCGGUAGACGGUGCGCAAACUACGAACUCGAUGGUGACGCAAGACACGGACAAGCUUUUUAUCCAGGUUCGGCCGCCGAGUUGGCGUAAUACCUACGUCCUGCGUCUGGUUGUAUUGAUUUGUGUUGAGAGAAUAUGAUCUGAUGUGUCCUCUAGGGGACCCCUGCCCCUCCUUAUAUAUCCUGAAGGGACAAAGUUACAAGCAAAGUAUCCUAUUUGGUACAAAAUCUUGUAGCCUUGCGGUGCACGCCGACCAGUCGUGCGCCGCACGUCUUCAUCUUGUGGGCCAAGCCACCUCUGAUGGUGCGGCCCAUAUAGACCCAUGAGGGUAUAGGGGUUUAUACCCCCACAGCUAGUCCCCGAGCACCAUGUAUUAUGAUGUAACACGCCGUCUUGAGCUUCUUCGAUCAGUGAGGCUUGACGUCUUCAACAUUGACAUCGAAGAAGCAGGUUGUUCGAAGAAUGCAUGGUGCUCUAAAAAAGAUUUUUUCCUGGUGAAGUGUGCCCACUUUACUUUUCUAAAAAGUAUAGACCUCAAAAAAGCAAGCAUAUUCACCGCAAGGUGAAGUGUGCCCACUUAGUCCCCGAGCCUGGUAGUAGGUGACGUAGGCACGUGGUGCCAGGGUCAAAAGAAAAGUCCUCAAAGAAAUUCUGAAACUGAGAUGCAUCGCCAGAUGCAUCGUACCGAUGUAGUCCCCGAGCUUGCUGGAAGGCGAAGUAUGAGCCUUGUAGCAAGGUCUAAAAAAUUGAAUUUACCAGUCCCCGAGCAUAUCAUGCUCGUCUGCAAUUGAAUAGACUAAUCGACUAGUCUCCGAGCAUAUAAUGCUCGGUGGUCGGUACAGUCCCCGAAUUCUCAAAUUGGUGGGCUGGUCGACCAGUCCCCGAGCGUAUAGUGCUCGGUGGUCGGUGCAGUCCCCAAGUUCUUAAAUUGGUGAGCUGGUCGACCAGUCCCCGAGCGUAUAGUGCUCGGUGGUCGGCACAGUCCCCGAGCACGGCGUAGGGACCGGUGGACAAGUCCCCGAGCGUGGUUGGGAACGUAAACGUGCUCGGUGGUCGGCACAGUCUUCGAGCACAGCAUAGAGAGUAGUCGACAAGUCCCCGAGCGUGGUUGGGAACGUAAACGUGCUCGGUGGUCGGAGCAGUCCCCGGGCACAGCGUAGGGAAUAGUCGACGAGUCCCCGAGCGUAGCUUGUCGACUGGGCCAAACCCCUGAAAAAUAAAUAUAAAGAAUAGGUAGUACAUGAUGUAUAAAUAAACUUUAGAUAAAAAUCAGUACUGAGAUAAGUUUUAGAUUUUUUGUUAUAAAAUUAGCACAAGUAGUUAAUUCAUCCUAGAGCUUGUACCAGCUCUGGUCUAGCCAACAAUCAGCAUGAGGUGCGGAACCUAGACACGCGUGGGAUUGCCACCCUCGCCAGGGAGCUACUGCCGACCACCCGGAACGCAGAGGGCGGAUCUCGUGCACGUGUAGGGAGGAGUCGGAGACAGUACCGGCUCUGGAAAGCUCGUGUAGGAGAAAAAACUAGUGUGGCUAAACAAAAAGUUGUUUUUGAAGGAUAAUAAAAAAUAUUAUGCCAAAAAUAAAUAAGAUAUUACUUUUAAGUGUACUUAUCUUUGGAUGAAAGUCUAGUCGGUGACGACAAAAUUGUCCGGCCCUCGAGCUUCUCGACUUGUCAUUACGGUGGUCGCUGUUGUCGGAGCGUCGUUCUUCGCGGCGAUUAUUAUUGCGACUGGUGGUCAGAGCAAGUAGGCUAAACAAUUUGGUCGAUGGCCCGAGCAGGUCGGUGUUGUCGAUCUGCCUCUCUUUGUAGCAGGGAAGCGGGUGACGCGUUGUCGGCGUGGUCGGAGACGUUGCUGGAGUAGUCGGAGUCGUAGCCAGCGUGGUUGAAGCCGCCGCCGACGUCGAUGAAGAAGUGGUUGGCGCAGAUCGGAUCUACACCUCCUCCGUGGUCAUGGCGGUGAAGUUGUUGAAGCUGACGGUGAACGUGAAGUCGCCCGCCAUGGCCGCGAAGUCGGGGAUGAUGGCCAUCUUGUUCGUCGGGAGAGCUGUACGCACACCCCCUACCUGGCGCGCCACUGUCGACGAAAGCUGGUCGGCAGUCUACCUUGGGGUAUACCCACGGUAGUAGUUUAUCGGUAGACGGUGCGCAAACUACGAACUCGAUGGUGACGCAAGACACGGACAAGCUUUUUAUCCAGGUUCGGCCGCCGAGUUGGCGUAAUACCUACGUCCUGCGUCUGGUUGUAUUGAUUUGUGUUGAGAGAAUAUGAUCUGAUGUGUCCUCUAGGGGACCCCUGCCCCUCCUUAUAUAUCCUGAAGGGACAGAGUUACAAGCAAAGUAUCCUAUUUGGUACAAAAUCUUGUAGCCUUGCGGUGCACGCCGACCAGUCGUGCGCCGCACGUCUUCAUCUUGUGGGCCGAGCCACCUCUGAUGGUGCGGCCCAUAUAGGCCCAUGAGGGUAUAGGGGUUUAUACCCCCACACAAAGUAAAUGCUAGAAAGUAAAGGAGUAGUGGAAGAAAGUGCUGGGCGAUGUUUUGCCGAGGUAUCGGAGAGUCACCACUCUCCACUAGUCCUCGUUGGAGCACCCGCGCAAGGGUCUUUCUCCCCCUUGGUCCGUGCAAGGACCAAGUGCUCUCUACGGGCUGAUUCUUCGACACCGUUGCGGUGAAUCGCCCAAAACUGCUCACAAGCUUGACGCGAGCCACCCACAACAACUCCUGGCGGUCUUUGUGCCUCCAAUCACCACUGAACCGUCUAGGUGAUGGCGAUCACCAAGAGUAACAAGCAAUGAACUCUCACUUGACCUAAACAAGGCACUAGAGAGUGGUGGAUGCACACUUGACUCUUGGAAUUCAACUAGAGAAGGAUUCUCACAAGAAAUCACUCAAAUCUCAAUCCUCUCUAGCCUCUUGCUACUCUCUUGCUCCACAACAAGUUUCUUAGAUGUUCAAAUGGGCAAGAGACCUCUCAUGGACGAGGUGGAGUAUAAAUACACCCCAUGAAGUCCAAAGGUCAGCCAACCGUUUUCCACUGAAAACGGGGUCGCCGGACACUGUUGAUGUUGCACCGGACGCUCUGCACCGAGCGUCCGGUGACACUCAACGGCUAACUGUACUGUCUCUGACAGGUCACCGGACGCUACUUUCCAGCGUCCGGUGGCACCGUCCGGUGCUCCGAGGAGUUUCACAAGCUCUCUGAGUUUAAGACCGGACGCUAUCCGGUGCGUCCGGUGCUCGGGGAAGGUUUACAACCUCCCUGGAUAUGGGACCGGACGCUGCACGGUGAGUUCGGUGCCAGCGUCCGGUGCCUAACCCUAGGCACCAAAGCCCUCCAACGGCUAAAGACCUCACCGGAUGCACUCUUAGAGCGUCCGGUGCCUACUUAGGCAACCUAACUUUGUCGAAACGCGACCGUUCCAAAACGAAGUUGGUUCCUCUCGAUCUAAGGACUAUCUUUGAGCUGCCUAGUGCUAGGUUUACCAAGUGUGCACCACACCUAAACCUCAAGCCUUGCCUAAGUCAAGCUACUAGAUCAAAACCCCUCUUAAUAGUACGGUCAAAGGAAAACAAAGUCCUAAACUACUCUAAGUUCCCUUCUACACCAUAUGGCACUUAGACCUAGUCUAGUCUUGACGAUGUCCAUCCAUCCUUUGAAAACCAAAACAAUUUCCACUAUUAAGUAGGCAUGUGCGUCCCUGUUCAUCGAGUACCUAUUACUAUGACCUCACUAAUGACUUUGCCUCUGCAAAACACACGUUAGUCAGAGUAAUCAACAUUGUCAUUAAUCACCGAAAUCAUUAAGGGCCUAGAUGCUCUUUCAAUCUCCCCCCUUUUGGUGAUUGAUGACAAUAACCUCGAGUAUGAAAGAAAAAGAGGUUUUCAAAACACUUGGUUUCUAUAAGCAUGAGUCAAUAAGAACAAAAAGGGAUUAGACAUGCUUAUAUCAACCAAGUCUAUCAUCCUGCAUCCAAAUAUGUGAGAUGUAUACAACAGGAUAUAAACACAAAAGGCUCAUAAUACAUCGGAGUGAAAACGCGGACGCAAAGCAAUAUGAGCCAAACACAUGACAUAAAGAUAUCACAGAUAAGCAUAAAGUCAUGUCUCACAACCGUAGAAGUAUCUCACAAGAGUAUCUCACAUACACUGUUCGCCUAAACGGCCGUUUAGACCGUUUAAACGCCGUGUAAACGCUACACAAUGAUACACCGUUUCCGUUUAAUCAUCUGUUUAGUCCGUUUAAUUGACCGUUUAGCCCGUUUAAUGGAAAGUUUAGCCCGAAUAAUGGCUAAACGGCAGGUGACCGACUGUUUACCGUUUAGCGUUUAGGAAAACAUUGCUCACAUAAGUGCAAUGCAUAAACGUAAAUAUGAUGCAUGGAGUGGCACACAAAAUAAUCAAAGAGCCCGAAACCUAGCUCUAGCUCCCCCUAACUCUCAUACUCUCAACUCUCUCCCCCUUUGGCAUCAAGUGCCAAAAACCUAAGAAGUUGGAGGUGGAGGCGGAGUAGUGGAGUCCCUCGACAAGGCCUGAAACUGUGUUGCGUCAUCCGAUCCAUCGGUCGUUGAGUCGGAGGAGGUAGAGUGACCCUCUGAAGCUGCACGAGCUGGAGAAGCAGUAUGGGGCGGCUCUAUAGGCUCUGAAGCUGUCACGGGCUGUGCUGGCUGCUCAAGUCCUGCCGACGAAGCUGGCACGGACUCUGUCGCUGUAGCUGACGUCUCUGGCACAAUAGAGGAAGGUGCAAGCUGCUCAAACGAAGCUACUGUCGACGACAGGCGCUCUGUAGUGGUAACUAGGACCUUAAAGGCUGCAGGAGCCUAUAGGGGUGGAGGCGUAGGGUCACCAAUCAGAGCAUUGUAAGAGAAACUGAUGUGCUAGCCUGCCGACGAAUCCAACACGAGCUGUGGCGCUGUCGCUGACUGUGGAGUAAAUCCAGAGCGUAGAGGCGUGAACUGAGGUACCUGCUCAAAGCCAGAAGAGAUAGCACCCUGUGAAACCUAGUGCUGUGGCGUCGAGAAGGGCUGACUCUGAGCAAGGAGCUGAAGCGGUGGCUGAGACUGACUCUGUGGCGCUGGGGUAGGAGGCCUGAUUGACGAGGUGCCUGGGAGCUAUAUCUGAGGAAGCUGAAUCCCUGAGGUGGCCAUAAGAGCAGCCAUCAUCGCCGUCUGCUGAGCCUGGAACGCAAGCUGUUGCUCCUAGAAGGUCAGAAGCUGUCUCUGGAGCUCGUCCUGCCUAGCCUGCAUGGCUGCAUUGAUGGCAGCCUGGUCCCUAUCUCUCCUAGCCUGCUCCUCAGCUGCCCGCCGUUGAUCGGCUCUCAUCCCGUCUAGAAUAGCAAGCAGAGUGGGGUCUGAAGCACUCAAGGAACCUCUUGCCUCGUGGUCGUGCGGCCUCGGAGGAAGGUCUAGCACUGGAAGACGAUAAUCAUUGUGUGAGUUGUCUGAAGCAAAGUCAAACUCCUCCUCGGCCUCCACAUCUGCAAACGCCCCAAUGGCGAUAUCCUGCUCCUCCUCAGUCUCUGGGACUGCUCCCGAACUGCGAGCACCUCUAGGAGAAGGUGGGGGCACCUGGCCACGUGGAGCACGAGGAGCUGGCGGAGCUCUAAAGUCAUGAUACGCUCUCAGCAUCUGCCGGAGGUCAUAGCGAGGGAACACUGUGUCUGAGUCUGUCAGCUCUCUCUGCAGGUGAGCUGGAAGUGGCACUGGCCUAGCACGAAGGAUGAGCAUGGUGAUCUAGUGUGCAUACUGCAGCUGACGCCGACCCCUAAAACUCUCUGAGAUGGUGUCCUCAAUCUCUGAGACUAUCAAAUCCCACAAGUCAAAUGGCGUCUUCGAGAUCAGAUGGGCUACCAACCACUGCUGAAUCUUGGUGAAGCCGUCUCUAUAGCCUGUCCUGGGAAAGAGCGUCUUCCUCAACACAAAGUCAAGGAUCCUGGCUGGGUGAGUCAAGUCUCCCACUGUCCUGCUAGAGCCCUCUCCAAAUGGCUGACGGAAACAGGGAGCCACAAAGUCAACUGGUGGUAGAGCACCACCGUGAGGACGUCGAGGGGGCUGGAAGUUCCCAUAGCACAGCUGGUGGAUCCUGGUGGAAUAGGCUCUUAAACCAAGGACCUCUCUGGCACUCUCUGCUGUCACCCUGUAGUCAAUGUCUGCCAGAGCGUAGUGGAUAUAGCUAUGAUCUGGUGAAACCCACACUGAGGCAUAGAACUCUCGGACCCACUCCUCACAAUAGGUACCAAGUAGAGCAAGCAACUCUGGGAGACCGGUCAGAUAGGUGAAAUACUGUCUAAUGUCUGCACUGACCACGUUCCCAAGUAUCUCAAGGUCGAGCACCCUGUGCUCCCUGAACUAAGCCUGUGAGCGAACAAGAGCCUCGUACAUAUCCUCCUGAACCAUUGUAUAGAAUCUGGCACUGGCUCUCGGAUCCCUGGCAGCUGGAAACCAAGUAGGAAAAGGAACGAAUCACCGCUCCUGGAUCUCUUGAGCUGAAACCUGGGUGUAAUCCUUAUGUAUCCUCACCGGCGCUGGACGUGGAGCUGUAGGGCCACGAGCUGGAGUAGAGCGAGCAGCGGAGGUAGACUGACCCAGCGUACCAAUCCUAGGGAUGGCCUGAGUAUGAGCGCGAGUCGACCUCCUGAGGGGCUGCUCCUGCAGCUAUGCCUCUGUCGGGCCCUCUGCCUCUGUCUCAGUCUCCAGGUCCUCCUGAGCUGGCUCUCUGACUGCAAUCCUAACACACUGACCUCCUAGCAUGAUGGUACCAGGAGGAGACCCGUGAAGUGCCUCAGCCUUAAGAACUGCACGCCUCUGCCAUGGCGUGAGAUCAGCCCCAAUCCUCAGGGCACCUGAGCAUCCACCCCUCUCUGCUGCCUCAACUGCUGCUGCAACUGCCUCUACCCCCUCUCUAUCACUAGUCUUUCUCUUCUUGGUGGAUAGCUUCUUUCCUUUGCCUUUCUCUGUGGCUGAUAGGCGACGGGGAGGGUCACCUCCACCCUCACCUCCUGGAGAACCACCAGCGCUGGCUGUCGGACCACUGACAUUCUUGCAACGUGCCAUUGCAAGAAACUAUCCUUGAAACACUGCCGACAACUGACCAACUGUCACUCAAGAGGCUUGGCCUGAAUCCGUACUCGCGGGCUUGGCCCCGAGUUGACUGACACAGCCAAACUGUCACACGAGAUCAAUGUGCUGCAAGAGAUGGAAUAGACAGGGUAUACAUAAGCAAACAUAAUAGCUGGAGGUGAGAAAACCCUAUAGAUCGCAGGAUUAGAUAAGGAACGGGCGCGAACACCUUAAGGGCAGAGGGCUUAGAACUCACCCCAAAAACCAAUCUCCACGCGACCAGACCACCCCUGUGCAUGAAGAGGAUGGAGGAGCGACCCUAGGAGCAGAUUAGGGCGGGGGGAAGAAGUUCACCAGAGAAAACUUGGUGAAAACGACGGCGGCGGCUCGGCGACUUGCUCUAGGGCUUCGGCGCGGCUGGCGAAAUCGCGGGGAAGAAAAGAAACUGUCCACGAGAAUUCCCUGGGUGCGAGUUAUAUGCACUUGCUGCGGGGUCACCGGACGCUCCUUAUGAGGCACCGGACGCGUCCGGUGACCACCGGACUAAAACACAGAGAGGAUGUCAAAACUGCAGACCACCAGACGAUGGCCACUGGACGCUGGCUUUAGCGUCCGGUGCCCAAAGGUACGCCGGGGUGAGCACCGGAUGCACCUCACCGGACGCUGCAGGGACACUGUUCCUGUGUCCGGUGAGUGCUGUCCAGCACACUCACCACACCAGACGCACAGAGGCAGCGUUCGGUGCAGCGUCCAGUGUAGUUCUGGCUCCUUUUUCAACUUAGCACCUCGUCCGACUUUUACCCAACAAUUGACACUUGCUAACACCACUUGAAUACUAGGUUAUCAUCCCCAGCAUGGCACUAGAGUGUACUAUGGUAUUUAUACGCACACAGAUAAUCCGCAAGCGCACGGAUACCGUUGAAGCUUUUACCCGGUUAAAGGUUUUAUCGUAUCCACAGGGAAACGGGAGAACCAACUACGCUCUAACUUAACCAAGAUAGAUAGAUAGGUGUAAAUAGGAAAGAUGAUAGAAUUAAAUAAGAACAAUAUUAAAGGUAAGAUAACAGUGAGUAAUAAUAUGGGAACAGAGAAUAGAGCAAUUAUAGUAUAUGGGUGAUGGUAGCAGAAUAGAGAGUAUACCUAUGGUUUCUCUACUUCAAUGGGGGUAUGUCUAUGUCUGGGACGAACCACGUGAUAAGAGUACACCACAAAGGAUGCUUAUCCUUAGGCCGAUAAACCCUACCCAUCCUGCUAACGAGAGGUGGACUACAGAGGACCAACGUAACUGUCACCUACGCGGCCUACCACACGAUCCAGCUAGACAGGGGAUAUCCACAAGUAAUCUGGGUCUAAGCACCUUGCUUACACCUAUACUACAACUCUCACCUAUAGUGUCCUAUAGAUUAAAGUACUCAAAAGAGUUGUGAACCAGAACAUACAUGAUUAGUAAUUGCAUAAUAAAUUAGAAGUAGAUUACCAAAGUCAUCCCAUGAGCAAGCUUGAUUAGAGCUUGAUCAUGACGAAGUACAACCGGAGGAAGAACCGACAGGUCGGCCUCUCCUCUAAUCCUCCUUCGCUCUCCAUCUUGCUACUAUCUAGAUCUACUCUAGUUUAGAGAAGAGAGGAGAGCUCUCAUCUCUAAACACUAGCUUUUGCUCUGUCUAUGAAUAAUGAAUAAUGAUCAAGGGGUGCCUCCUCCAGGGGCCAGGGGAUCUGGUUAUAUAGUACCCUCAAGUAAACCUGGGCCGUCGGAUCAAACCGACAUUGAUUGAACGGUUAUUCUUGAUCCUUUAGGUCGGUGGAGAUCUCCCGAGAGAAAGAGUCCUGAUUGGGCUCCAAGUCAGGGCGGGCGCCCAGGGCAGGAGGGCGGGCGCCCUGCCUCUGGCCCCAUUCGGCCUCCGCUUCCUUCCCGUGGCUUCUGGAGUCUUCUAGAUGUAAGAUAAUUGCGCGGCACGUUAAUAUCUCUAUGUAAUCCCGACGUGUGGGCCUUUCUUCCGUAUUUCCUGAUAACCCCCUGCAGAAAUAGACAAACACCAAAACUCGUGGAAUUCUGUCAGAUAAAACCCUAAGUCUAGAUGUUGAUUUCAUUUGGAUCCUUUUCUUUGUUUAUUUGAUAAUUAAAUUUGAUACUUAAGGACCGUCAACAAACUCCCCCAAGCUUACCUCUUGCUCGUUCGUGAGCAAGGAUAGACUCAGCAAUGGAUCAGAAGUUGUUGCAAUAUCUUAAAAAUUUGACGGUACACAUGCUUUUAAAUAAGAUCUCAUCUCUGAGUUAGAGUAAACUGUCAAGAACUAAAACUUACUUACUUUACCUUUCACCAUGGGACUUAUAACCGUCACUUCUGUCUUGAGUAGUUAAAAGAUAGAACAGUCUAGCCAAGUGCCAUGUCUCUUAUUCUUGAUCAGCUAUAGCUCUGGAGUUUUUGUAGAUUUUCAAAUAAAACUCAGAGAUUCCUUGUAUGACUCUAUAAAUCUCUCUUUUGUGGUAUUUCUGGAUCCUUACCAAGGCAGUGAUGGUAUAUGCCUUCUCUCAAGAUAUGUGGUAUUUGUGGUAUCAGGCAUAGUGACAUUGCCUUCUCUCUCACCCUACUCUAAUAAGGCUUUAAUAUCUGGAGCUCAUAGGUGGGAGACAGCUAAUACAUACUUACAAGACAUCUAUUGCAUAGUCAAACCAUGGAUCCAGAGAAACAAGUCAAUAAGUCAAAUCAAGAUGUGCAUGUGUGGCGAAUGAAUGGUGUAUGGUGAUGAUGGUGAUAACAAUGGUGGAAGUCUAAUUCUACUUUUGCUCUUUUGAGGGGAUACAUACCUUCCUUGCUUUAUGAAACUUUAUGAGGAGAAUGAGAUGCUCUAUCUUUCAUUUUUUUCUUUCCUCUCAGGUGGGUAUCCUGUACCCCUAAUUCUACUGUCGGACACUUGUCCAUUUUUACCUCUCGUCUCACUCUUUUUAUUUUCUUUCGAGGUUCCGGGCACUUGCCCCUUUUUAUUUCCUCGUUUAUUUUUUUUCUCUCCUUUUUUUUAGAGCACUCAUCUCAUGAGAUAAUAUAGCAAGUGGUAGUAACAAGAUAACUUGAGCAUUUAUUUCACAAGGAAAAACAGAAAUAUUUUUGGUUAUUCUCUCCCGGAUUAGGAGUAGAAUAUUUUUAGGUGGUUCUGGAGAUGGAAAUGAGUGGAUAUAUGUGGAUGGUACUUCCGGAGUAGAAGUAGCAUAUAUGAGUGAAUGUGCAAGUGAAACCUUGAUUUAACCACAUGACAAGCUCCUAAGGGUCUACACAACUUGACCACACUAAAUGCUCAUAAACAGUAAAUAGUAAAUGUGUGGCUCAAAGUCUAGCAAGCAUGUAUAUACGGUUGUGGUAGGAAUUUAAACUUUCAUCAUACAGGAACUCAUCAUGCAAUAUUUUAAAGAUUUUUCAAAGAUAAAAUUCUCCAGAAUUCUAGCAUCUCUAGAAACAGAUAAACAGCAGCUCAACCUUCCCAUAUCAUAUCCGUUAACAACUUAGAUUUCAGAUCAAAUUUUUAUCCCACAAAUUUAGAUCUAGAGCAAGCUUUAAAUUAUAACAAUUAUGUCUAGACUUGAGAGAGAACUUCAAAUUUGCAAAUUAGGCAGAGCAACUAUUCAUCAUAUCCAUGCUAGAGUUUUAUUAUUAAGAUUCAGAUUAGCAUAGCCACUUUAUUUAUUUAUUAAACACACUAAGCAAAAGAUAUAUAUAUAUAUAAGCACAAAAUCUUUAUUUGGUUUUUCAUAGUUUAUGUAUUUUAAUAUUCUAAUAUAAUAUAAGUAUAAAGAUAGGUAGAAAUACUUAGCGAGAUAAAUGGGGGUGCUCUCCCCCAAGCUGAAUUUUGACGUAAUUUCUCUUGAUGUAGCUAGCAGGUGGCAGAGGUGUAUUUGAAAGUCAGCAGCAUUUUGACAGCGAUUAGAAUGUCCUCUGUCUGCUAGUCUUCUUGAUUCUUAAAUUCUGUGGAGCUCAAAUAGACAACAAAGCUUGUGGAACUAAUUAAGUGUUAGCAUAAAUAUCUAGCCUUCAUCAUGUUGAGCUUCCUAAAUAUUACUCCCUGUUUUUAUAUUUUUAUUUUAUAAAGCAGAAAAGAAAUAUUUAUUUUAUUUUUAUGCCACCACAGUGAAGGUACUUAUGGGUUUUAUGCCACUCGUAUACUCACAUGGGGCUUAGUAUUUUUUAAUAUUUUUAUUUUCUUUUCAAGAUAGCAUGAUUAACUAAUAAUCUAUUUAAGGAAAGUAAAUAAUUAAAGGGAAAAAGGAAUGCAGAAAGGAUAAAUAUGGAUAACUACCGAUCUUACCUUUCGGCGAUGGUUCAAUGUUUUAAGUCUUCUUAACAAGACUUCUCACCGUGUUCAUUCUUCAGAUGCGUCAUUUGAUUCAGGUGCGGACCUUGACGUCUGCACCUCUUCAUUUGCCCAGCAGUUCGAAGUGCGGCGUUGGCAGUAUCUUGCUCAGUGUGUUUGUGCUCGUAGAUCCAGGUCCUUUACUUGGUAGAGUCUGAGAGUUAUAAAACUCCUCCGUGUUUUGCUCGAAGUGUACCUGCUCAUAGAGACAAGGUAGAGAUCAAGUGCAUGGGUCCUGUUGGUGGAAAACACCAACAGAACCUAAAGUGUAUUUGUUCUUCUCUAACCCUAAGCAUAGUGAGCAAGACAAAGUUAAUGGAUGAAAAGUUCAUGAGUGUAGCACUUAUAACAUUUGUCAGAUCAGGUCGCUCAACCUUAUGGAAAGAUAAUCUAUCUAUGUAUAUGUCUUUUUCUUUAUAUCUCUCAAUGAUUGAAUGUGUAACAUUUUAGCUCAUAUGAUUAGGAGUGUGAGAUCAUGGAGGUAGUACUAAGAACAAGGAUUAAAGGACUAAACAAAUUGAAUCAGUUGGGUUGGUUAAUCUAGAGUUGUAAAUCAUACAUGUUUGUCUCUUUUAUUUAUAUGAACGCCAGAACCAAGGAGAAGCUUAUAAAAGUGAUAGUCAAGUACCUUAAGAUGUUACCUUGCUUGAAGAGUGAUGGUACAGUAUCACCUUGUGGAAGCUUUCCUUUCUUAGCGGUUGUGCAUCGUGUUUGUGGCCUCCAUGGAUCAUCUCUCUAUGAUGAAUGAGCUAUGUCCUUCUUGUGCA